rnacentral:rRNA from 1 species
GGCCUUCGGUGGACAUACACAGGUGCUGCAUGGCUGUCGUCAGCUCGUGUCGUGAGAUGUCGCGUUAAGUCGCUUAACGAGCGAAACCCUUGUCUCUAGUUGCCAGCGCGUAAAGGCGGGGACUCUAGAGAGACCGCGGCGUUAAGCCGGAGGAAGGUGGGGAUGACGUCAAGUCCUCAUGGCCCUUAUGACUAGGGCUGCACACGUCCUACAAUGGAACGCACAAAGGGAAGCGAAACCGCGAGGUCAAGCAAAUCCCAAAAAUCGUUCCCUAGUUCGGAUUGCAGGCUGCAACUCGCCUGCAUGAAGCUGGAAUCGCUAGUAAU